rnacentral:rRNA from 1 species
AGCUCCAAUAGCGUAUAUUAAAGUUGUUGCGGUUAAAAAGCUCGUAGUUGGAUUUCUGCUUAGGGCGUCCGGUCCACACUUCGUGUGCGAUCUGGUUCGGUCUGGGCAUCCUCUUGGGGAACGCCUGCGUCCUUUAUUGUGACUUGGCGGGAUUCAAGACUUUUACUUUGAGGAAAUUAGAGUGUUCACGGCAAGCAAGCGCGAUUGAAUACAUUAGCAUGGAAUAAUGAUAUAGGACCUGAGUUCUAUUUUGUUGGUUUCUAGAACUAAGGUAAUGAUUAAUAGGGACAAUUGGGGGCAUUCGUAUUAACGCGUCAGAGGUGGAAUUCUUAGAUUGCGUUACGACGAACUACUGCGAAAGCAUUUGCCAAGGAUGUUUUCA